CCCUUAGCUAUUGUGUGUUAUCUGUCUUUCCAGAGACCAGUUGAAGCCAGAUGGAACAAUCAGGACCAUCACUGGUCCUGAUUUCUGCCUAAGCAGAAAAGGGGCAGGGGGGAUACACACCAUCACAGGGGGUGUGAAAACAAAACUUUCCUCACUGCAUUUCUCAGCAAAGUUCAGGGAUGAAACAAAUACUUUGCAUAUAUGGAGAAACUGAAAAGUUGAAGAUGCUUCCUAAGGCCACAGGGUAAGGAGGUGCAAGUGUGCA